UACGAAGGGAGCUAGCGUUACUCGGAAUCACUGGGCGUAAAGCGUAAUGUAGGCGGAAGUUACAAGUCAGAGGUGAAAGCCCUGGGCUCAACCCAGGAAUUGCCUUUGAAACUGUAUUUCUUGAGUAUGGUAGAGGAUGGUGGAAUUUCCAGUGUAGAGGUGAAAUUCGUAGAUAUUGGAAAGAACACCGGUGGCGAAGGCGGCCAUCUGGGCCAUUACUGACGCUGAGAUACGAAAGCGUGGGGAGCAAACGGGG
rnacentral:rRNA from 1 species